rnacentral:rRNA from 1 species
UACGUAGGGUGCGAGCGUUUGUCCGGAAUUAUUGGGCGUAAAGGGCUCGUAGGCGGUUUGUCGCGUCUGCCGUGAAAGUCCGGGGCUCAACUCCGGAUCUGCGGUGGGUACGGGCAGACUAGAGUGAUGUAGGGGAGACUGGAAUUCCUGGUGUAGCGGUGAAAUGCGCAGAUAUCAGGAGGAACACCGGAGCGGCGAAGGCG